UCAUCUGCCUUGAACCCAUAAAGUGUUGGGAUUACAGGCGUGAGCCACUGUACCCACCCUGAGAAUUUAUUUACUGCUGCAUUCUUGGUAUAUAUAGGUGCUCAAUAAAUACUUGUUAAUGAAUGAAUGAAUGAAUGAAUGUGUACUGUGCUGUAGGGAUUGAGAACUGUUAGGAAUGUACAGUGGAGAGGAAGAUAGAUGUGAAUCAUAUAUUAUUAUAAAACAGUGA